GACGUAGGGUGCAAGCGUUGUCCGGAUUUACUGGGCGUAAAGAGCGCGUAGGCGGUCUGUUAAGUGAGAAGUGAAAGCCCCGGGCUCAACUCGGGAACUGCGCUUGAUACUGUCGAGCUAGAGUGUGGAAGGGGCGAUUGGAAUUCCGUGUGUAGCGGUGAAAUGCGUAGAUAUACGGAGGAACACCAGAGGCGAAGGCGGAUCGCUGGGCCAACACUGACGCUGAGACGCGAAAGCUAGGGUAGCAAACGGG
rnacentral:rRNA from 1 species